GGAGGAGAAGGGGACGACAGAAGAUGAGAAGGCUGGAUGGCAUCACCGACUCGAUGGAUGGGUGGAACAACCAUUAUCUCUGACAACUUAAACUCACACUCCCUUGUAUUUAUUGUAUCUGGUCUAUGUCGGAUAACUGCUCAGAUGAAUGCUAAGGAAAUACCUGUGUACGUUCCUGUGUGAUGAAGACCAGUUCUUCUACCCUGAAAGAGUUCCACACCAUUCCUCCACCAAGAGGAGCUCUUGAUGCAACUGGUAGAAGUUUAGCAAACUUCACUCUCAGCAGGAAGGAAGAAAACACUCUACAAAAAGAAACAGAUUUCAGAUGGUUGGAAGAUGAGAUGGUUGGAUGACAUCACCAAUUCAAUGGACAUGAACUUGAGAGAACUCUGGUUGAUGGUGAGUGACAGGGAGGCCCCGGCAUGCUGCAGUUCACAGGGUCACAGAGGGUCAGACACAACUUGGCGACUGAACAACAAUAGCAAAAUAGCAGUAAAGAAAUACAUAUGAUGCAUUUGUAUUUGUAUAUAUUGCAGAUAGAGCAUAUUUAUGAAAAAAUAGAAAUUCCACUUCGACUAGGAGACAAGGUCAAAUCUUUAACUUACAGUUUUACACAGCUGAUAACUGGAAGAGUUUGCCACAGUACUAGCUUCUGGCUCUGUUUCUUUCCACUUUCAGAAUGCAGUAUUGUUAGUGCCCUUCAUCUUCAUAUAAUGAUGCCAGAUGAGUCACAGAGCAGGCACUUGAAUUAUUCCUGGAAGAAAUCAUAUGCUGGGAGGCUAGCAGUACCUAAUUAUACAGAAGAGUGACUGUUAACUGCAUCAGUUCAUACCUCUAAAUCCAAGUUAACUGUGUCUCCAAUUCAACUUCCACUUCACUGGAUCUUAGAAUACCUCUGGUCACUCCAAUAUGACUGAAUGUGGUAAAAAAUAUUAGGGGUACAAAGAGAAAGCUACUUUAAACAGUUAUAAUUCAAAUAACUUACUUUUUCAAAAUUUACAAAAAUAUUCAGUUCAUGUGAAUAUGUUAUUUGAACCUGUCCUAGAUCCUGGAAGGGGAGUGACUCUAAAGCUUAAGAUUCAUUACUUCAUGGUAAAUUUGCCUCUGCUUAUUACUUAAAAUUAGAAAUAUGAAAGAAGCAUGUUUUAUGCUAAU